CACAGAUUCUCAGUACAUCAAGGAAGAAUUCCACAUCAUCCUUGAAAUUAAAUUGCUUUGACGUGACAGAAGGCUCCUCUGGUUCACAUGCAUAUCAUACAUCCUUUGAAAUGUAGUGCAAUACAUCACUGAGAUUCCAAGAACCAAGGACCCAACAGAGAAAUAUAGGCUAGAAGAAAUACAGGCACAAAGAACCAUGGAUGGAAUAUGUUCCCAGUUCCAAAAGACUAGUAUCUCAUAUCGUACCAUUACGUGUGCAAGUAAAACCUGAAAAUUUACUAUAUUAUACAAUAGGGAUUAUUUCAGAUCUUGUGGAUUUGAGAUACUUAUCUAAUUUAAUGCAUUUGACCUGAUAUGUAAUGUACUAAUGUGAGAAAAUAAAGGAUAAAGUUUUAAAUA